rnacentral:rRNA from 1 species
GUGUCAGCAGCCGCGGUAAUACGUAGGGGGCAAGCGUUACUCGGAAUUACUGGGCGUAAAGGGUGUGUAGGUGGCUGGAUAAGUCAAAGAUGAAAUCCCGAGGCUCAGCUUCGGAAUUGUCUUUGAUACUGUUCAGCUUGAGGAUAGUUGAGGAGAGCGGAAUUCCCGGUGGAGCGGUGAAAUGCGUAGAUAUCGGGAGGAACACCUGAGGCGUAGGCGGUUCUCUAUACUAUUCCUGACACUGAGACACGAAAGCUAGGGGAGCAAACGGGAUUAGAUACCCCGGUAGUCCUAGCCGUAAACGAUAGACGCUAGAUGUUCCUGCGUUUAUGCGGGAGUGUCGUAGCUAACGCGUUAAGCGUCCCGCCUGGGGAGUACGGUCGCAAGAUUGAAACUUAAAUGAAUUGACGGGG